GUAGCAUUACUAAGUCAAAAAAAAAAACUAAAUAUUAUUAAUAAGUAUUGAGUCCUAAGGGUUAAGCGUGCGUAGUGAGUAAGUGUGCGCACUAGGGUGUGCCAAGAAAAAUAUUUUUUUUCCUUAGAUACCUGAAAAUAUCGUCCGAGAAGACAAAAAAAAAAAACAAUUCUGGUAAAGUUUGAACUCUUAAUAUUAAUUUUAAAAGGUGGCACAUUGUGAUUUUUAAUGCCCCAUAUAAAUGACACACGAUUAUUUUCAUAUUGCGUUCGGUUGUUUAAUGCAUUUGAACAAAUUAUUGUAUACUUGUAGUGUAAAGUGUAAAGUGAAAACCUGAAGUUAUAUUUACAUCUACAUUAUAUCAUAAAGGCUGGACUUUGAACUUUGGGCCUCUUUAGUGCGGAGCCUGUUUAUCUACUAAGAGCAAAAGGGAAAGUCGUGAUAUGCCUAGUGAACUGAAACUGAUAAUAACAAAUACUUAUGGUAAUUUCUCUACAAGAUUGCAACAUUGUGUCGUUCAUUUAUAUUUAAUAAAAAUUAAAUAAAGUUCUGCGUUUCAACUAUAA